rnacentral:rRNA from 1 species
GACUGGGGCUAAGUCGUAACAAGGUAGCCGUACCGGAAGGUGCGGCUGGAACACCUCCUUUCUGGAGCAAACU